GACGUAGGAGGCGAGCGUUGUCCGGAUUCAUUGGGCGUAAAGAGCACGCAGGCGGUUUGGCAAGUCGGAUGUGAAAGCCCGGAGCUCAACUCCGGACCUGCAUCCGAAACUGCCCGACUAGAGGUAGGUAGGGGAGAUCGGAAUUCCUGGUGUAGCGGUGAAAUGCGCAGAUAUCAGGAGGAACACCGGUGGCGAAGGCGGAUCUCUGGGCCUUACCUGACGCUCAGGUGCGAAAGUGUGGGGAGCGAACAGG
rnacentral:rRNA from 1 species